UACGGAGGGGACUAGCGUUGUUCGGAAUUACUGGGCGUAAAGCGCACGUAGGCGGAUUUGUAAGUCAGGGGUGAAAUCCCGGGGCUCAACCCCGGAACUGCCUUUGAUACUGCGAAUCUCGAGUCCGGAAGAGGUGAGUGGAAUUCCUAGUGUAGAGGUGAAAUUCGUAGAUAUUAGGAAGAACACCAGUGGCGAAGGGCGGCUCACUGGUCCGGUACUGACGCUGAGGUGCGAAAGCGUGGGGAGCAAACAGG
rnacentral:rRNA from 1 species